UUGAUUUCAUGUCAAUUCAAACUUCAAUAAAUUUACAGUAAAAUGUACAAAAUUUUCUACUUAACUUGUACAAAAUCAGUUUGAAAUUAUGUACAUAGUAUUGCCAAUAAUUGCUGGCAUGUCUUUAAUAUCCUGUGUGUACUGCUGUUGCUUCAGGAGGGCUUGCUGAUGGAGACGACUUUGUCAGCACCACAAUCUGCCAUGGACUGUAGAUUCAGUUUUUGUUUUGUAUAGAAUAAUUGUAGCCGUGAGCAUCGGCCAGAGGCGGCAGCAGAGCGUCCACGUGUUCCACUCCUUCCUGUGGGACCACGAGCGAGACGGAUAUGCUUCCUACAAUUUUGAGAAUUGCCACAUUUUUGCCAAUGUCGUUGUGUAUGGAAUCUACUUUGAUUAAACUGUUUGUUACCCACAUUUCAAUU
rnacentral:misc_RNA from 1 species